UAUGUACUCCCUCCGUCCAGAAUUACUUAUCAUAGGAAUAGAUGAUUCUAGACAUAUUUUAGUUCUAGAUACAUUCUUUUUUUUUUCAUUUUGGUGACAAGUAAUCCGGACGGAGGAAGUAUUUA
rfam:Hordeum vulgare subsp. vulgare, WGS project CAJW01000000 data, contig: morex_contig_139690